AGCGCAGGUGGGAAAGUAAGUCUGCUUUAAAAGUGCGGGGCUCAACCCCGUGAGGGAGUGGAAACUAUUUUUCUUGAGUGCAGGAGAGGAAAGCGGAAUUCCUAGUGUAGCGGUGAAAUGCGUAGAUAUUAGGAGGAACACCAGUGGCGAAGGCGGCUUACUGGGCCUUUACUGACGCUGAGGCUCGAAAGCGUGGGGAGCAAACA
rnacentral:rRNA from 1 species